rnacentral:rRNA from 1 species
CUGGCGGCGUGCCUAAUACAUGCAAGUCGAGCGGAGCUGAUGGAGUGCUUGCACUCCUGAUGCUUAGCGGCGGACGGGUGAGUAACACGUAGGCAACCUGCCCUCAAGACUGGGAUAACUACCGGAAACGGUAGCUAAUACCGGAUAAUUAAAUUCGCUGCAUGGCGGAGUUAUGAAAGGCGGAGCAAUCUGUCACUUGAGGAUGGGCCUGCGGCGCAUUAGCUAGUUGGUGAGGUAACGGCUCACCAAGGCGACGAUGCGUAGCCGACCUGAGAGGGUGAACGGCCACACUGGGACUGAGACACGGCCCAGACCCCUACGGGAGGCAGCAGUAGGGAAUCUUCCGCAAUGGGCGAAAGCCUGACGGAGCAACGCCGCGUGAGUGAUGAAAGGUUUUCGGAUCGUAAAGCUCUGUUGCCAGGGAAGAACGUCUCAUAGAGUAACUGCUAUGAGAGUGACGGUACCUGAGAAGAAAGCCCCGGCUAACUACGUGCCAGCAGCGGC